AGCGUCCGUAGCCGGCUUAGUAAGUCUUUCGUUAAAUCUGACGACUUAAUCGUCAGGCCGCGGAAGAUACUGCUAGGCUAGAGGGCGGGAGAGGUUGACGGUAGUCCCGGAGUAGGGGUGAAAUCCUAUAAUCCCGGGAGGACCACCAGUGGCGAAGGCGGUCAACUAGAACGCGCCUGACGGUGAUGGACGAAAGCUGGGGGAGCGAACCGGAUUAGACACCCGGGUAGUCCCAGCUGUAAACGAUGCGGGCUAGGUGUCGGGGCAGCUACGUGCUGCUCCAGUGCCGCAGAGAAGUUGUUAAGCCCGCCGCUUGGGAAGUACGGCCGCAAGGCUGAAACUUAAAGGAAUUGGCGGGGGAGCACAAG
rnacentral:rRNA from 1 species